UGUGAAACUGCGAAUGGCUCAUUAAAUCAGUUAUCGUUUAUUUGAUAGUACCUUACUACAUGGAUACCUGUGGUAAUUCUAGAGCUAAUACAUGCUAAAAACCCCGACUUCAGGAAGGGGUGUAUUUAUUAGAUAAAAAACCAACGCCCUUCGGGGCUCCUUGGUGAAUCAUAAUAACUUAACGAAUCGCAUGGCCUUGCGCCGGCGAUGGUUCAUUCAAAUUUCUGCCCUAUCAACUUUCGAUGGUAGGAUAGUGGCCUACCAUGGUGGCAACGGGUAACGGGGAAUUAGGGUUCGAUUCCGGAGAGGGAGCCUGAGAAACGGCUACCACAUCCAAGGAAGGCAGCAGGCGCGCAAAUUACCCAAUCCCGAUACGGGGAGGUAGUGACAAUAAAUACUGAUACGGGGCUCUUUUGGGUCUCGUAAUUGGAAUGAGAACAAUUUAAAUCCCUUAACGAGGAACAAUUGGAGGGCAAGUCUGGUGCCAGCAGCCGCGGUAAUUCCAGCUCCAAUAGCGUAUAUUAAAGUUGUUGCAGUUAAAAAGCUCGUAGUUGAACCUUGGGCCUGGCUGGCCGGUCCGCCUCACCGCGAGUACUGGUCCGGCUGGGCCUUUCCUUCUGGGGAACCUCAUGGCCUUCACUGGCUGUGGGGGGAACCAGGACUUUUACUGUGAAAAAAUUAGAGUGUUCAAAGCAGGCCUUUGCUCGAAUACAUUAGCAUGGAAUAAUAGAAUAGGACGUGUGGUUCUAUUUUGUUGGUUUCUAGGACCGCCGUAAUGAUUAAUAGGGAUAGUCGGGGGCGUCAGUAUUCAGCUGUCAGAGGUGAAAUUCUUGGAUUUGCUGAAGACUAACUACUGCGAAAGCAUUCGCCAAGGAUGUUUUCAUUAAUCAGGGAACGAAAGUUAGGGGAUCGAAGACGAUCAGAUACCGUCGUAGUCUUAACCAUAAACUAUGCCGACUAGGGAUCGGACGGGAUUCUAUAAUGACCCGUUCGGCACCUUACGAGAAAUCAAA
rnacentral:rRNA from 1 species